rnacentral:rRNA from 1 species
CUUGUCUUCUAAAUAAAGACUAGUAUGAACGGCGUCACGAGAACUAAACUGUCUCCCCCCUCUAAUCAGUGAAACUGAUCUUCCCGUGCAGAAGCGGGAAUAAAAACAUAAGACGAGAAGACCCUGUGGAACUUUAAACCUACCAUCAUCUGCUUUCUACUUCUAUCCUAACAAUAACGCAGACUGAUCUAAGUUUUCAGCUGGGGCGUCUAUGGAGAAAAAACCACCCUCCAUGAUGAACUAAUCCAAGAGAUUCCUCUCUAAGCAUUAAUACUCUUAACUACACUUGACCCAAUCAUAUUGACCAACGGACCAAGUUACCCCAGGGAUAACAGCGCAAUCCACUUCUAGAGUCCUUAUCGACAAGUGGGUUUACGACCUCGAUGUUGGAUCAGGGCGCCCUAGUGGUGCAGCCACUACUAAAGGUUCGUUUGUUCAACGAUUAAAACCCU